UACGAAGGGGGCUAGCGUUGCUCGGAAUUACUGGGCGUAAAGCGCACGUAGGCGGGUUCUUAAGUCGGUGGUGAAAUCCUGGAGCUCAACUCCAGAACUGCCUUCGAUACUGGGAAUCUUGAGUCCGGGAGAGGUGAGUGGAACUGCGAGUGUAGAGGUGAAAUUCGUAGAUAUUCGCAAGAACACCAGUGGCGAAGGCGGCUCACUGGCCCGGUACUGAUGCUGAGGUGCGAAAGCGUGGGGAGCAAACAGG
rnacentral:rRNA from 1 species